rnacentral:rRNA from 1 species
AGUGGCGGACGGGUGAGUAACGCGUGGGUAACCUGCCUUGUACAGGGGGAUAACAGUCAGAAAUGACUGCUAAUACCGCAUAAGCGCACAGAGCUGCAUGGCUCGGUGUGAAAAACUCCGGUGGUAUGGGAUGGGCCCGCGUCUGAUUAGGCAGUUGGCGGGGUAACGGCCCACCAAACCGACGAUCAGUAGCCGGCCUGAGAGGGCGACCGGCCACAUUGGGACUGAGACACGGCCCAAACUCCUACGGGAGGCAGCAGUGGGGAAUAUUGCACAAUGGGGGAAACCCUGAUGCAGCGACGCCGCGUGAGCGAAGAAGUAUUUCGGUAUGUAAAGCUCUAUCAGCAGGGAAGAUAAUGACGGUACCUGACUAAGAAGCCCCGGCUAACUACGUGCCAGCAGCCGCGGUAAUACGUAGGGGGCAAGCGUUAUCCGGAUUUACUGGGUGUAAAGGGAGCGUAGACGGCAAGGCAAGUCUGAUGUGAAAACCCAGGGCUUAACCCUGGGACUGCAUUGGAAACUGUCUGGCUCGAGUGCCGGAGAGGUAAGCGGAAUUCCUAGUGUAGCGGUGAAAUGCG